CAGAGGGUCAACUUCAGGUCAACUUCAAAGACAACAAGUCUCAUUUCAGCAAAGUCAGGAGCAGGAGAUUUGGGACAUGUGACUCUAAACGUGUGAAACUUCCAAUCAUUUUAAAGAACAAUGUUUGAGUGGGAGGGGUUACGUUAGAAAGCGCGGUGGAUACAGCGUAGAGACCGGUAGAGAUACAGUGUGAGCCAGAGGAGCGCGGCUGUUUUACGUUGUCAUAGUGUUUGAGACAGUUUGGAAGAGAGCGACUUUUAUGUGCAACGCGUGCGAAAUUCAGGAUGCAAAAGAUACCAUUGACAGUCUGCACGUGAACAAGAACUGCAAGAUUUGCUGACCUCAAAGUAAUCUGAAGAGGAAGCUCUCCUUUGGCAGCAGAGUACUUCAUGCUUUCUGUGGACCCGACCAUUGUGAAUGGUCACAUCAGUGCCUUCACCGAUGCUCUUGUGUUGAUGUUUGCCAAUAUUGGAGUUCUUGCAGAGAUGCCUCAAGAUCAACCCAGACAAGGGAUCAAGAGUGGAGAACAAUGCUACCAGAAAGCAGCUGGCGGUCAGUCCAAAGGUUCUUUCCCUGAUAACAAAAAUUGCGGACUAUGAAUGGAGGGAGUAAAAAGAAACACUUUUCAGAAGGGAGCCCAUUGCAAUCCAAUGUCCCUAGUUCUUUCUCAUGCACAGUUCAUGUUGGUCUCACUACUGUAUUCUUGAGUGGUGUUUAAUUGUUGUCAGAUGCUACCACUGUGAAUACUAGGUACACAUUGUACCAUAUUUUAAGUAUAGAAUUGGUUCACAGUACUGGACAAAGUUACUACUUUAAAAUUAUAGGCUACUUCAGUACCUUCAGUUAAGUUACUGCAGUAACAGUGGAAGCAAACAUUACACUGCACCUGGAAUAAAACUUUAUUUUAUCUUUCCAAAACGGGCUAGUUUUUAAAGGCAUCUGCAGUACCAGACAGACUUUUAAAUUGUAUGUAGCUUGUUUUUUAGUUUCAAGUCUUUUAAUUUCACUGGGAACAUUAGCUGAACCUACUGUAAACUGUUCUUGAACUUUCGCCCACAAGCAGCCAAUUGUUGGACUGCUAGCAGUAUGUAGCCAUGCCACGUUAAGCUUUGUAAGCAAGUAUGUUGCUAGAGCAGCAACUGUUUUCUAUUCUGAUCUGUUGGUCAACAGAAUAAAUACAUGUUGAACAGUA